AUGCCGGAGGCUCCUCAGAGCUCAGGCGAUUCCGGCCGUCCGAUUGAUCUCCUGACGCGUUUCCGGCCGUCGGAUCUCGGCCGUCGCUUCUCCACAUUCGCUCGUCCCACCUCCUCCUCUCUCUCUCUCUCGAUCUCCUAUGCCUCGCACGCCGCCACCGCUCGCCCUCGCGCCGCCGCCGCCUCCGCUCGCCCUCGCGCCGCCCCCUUGCCUCUCUCUCUCCCUCCAAGCCCUAGAACCUCACCCGCGCCUCCCAGCUCCACCGCCGUCCAGGUCCAGCCCCAUGCCACCGUCGUCUUCUCGCCCAGCCGUCCGCCACCACACCGCACGCUCGUGCGCAGGGGCGAGAAGGGGAACCACCGCCCGCUCCCGGAGCGCGAGGAGGACGUGGUGAUGCAGCGCCCAGAUCCACGACGGCAUCAACGCGCCGUCGUCGACCUGAGCCACCACCGUCCUCGAGGCCGGCCAUGGAGUGGGGGUCUGACCCAGGUACAGCCGUGGACGGAGACACCCCAAACCCUAGCAUUGCUGCUGCUGGUCAAGUUUUUUGGACGUGUUGGCUGGUCGGAUGCGGCAAUUUUUUUGGAUGCAUUAGCUAUUCGAGCCUGGAUAUGGUGUGGUUCUGACGUUCUUGGAAUCAAUGUACUAUUUUCAGGGGCUGGAUUUGUCUGUAAUCGAUUAGGCCUUGCAAAAGAGAGGUGGGGAACAGGAUUGUUGGUCGGUUCUAUUGCUAUUUAUUGUGCAAGGACCCUCUUUUGCUGGCCUCGUUCUUCUGCACUGUGUACCCUCUUUUGUUGGAUCAGCCUUUUAGAUGAUUUGCCAGUCAUACCCUGUGUGUGCAUAUCACGUCUGUGGCAUCACCAUGGUGGAACCGAAAAUGGACCUAUCAAGGAGAUGGAUGUGGUUAUACUAGAUGCAGAGAUGCCUGAGAAAUUUGUUAACCAAUUUAUAUGUGUCCCCCAAGAGUGUGGGUUGAUGAUCUGUCGCAAGUUUCUGGUCUUUCUCAAGAAGUAUGUCUUCGGGCUGGUGGAGAGUCAAUACAUGAUUAAGUUCACUAGAUGUGGUUGGGAUUAUCCCAGGUUUCUUUGUUCUUUCAUGUUGGAAUCAGUGACAAUACCUUGCCGGCACUCCUCGUAUUCUCUCCACUAUGUUUGGCUAAGGUUGCAAAAUUUGGUAACCGUGAAUGUUUGUGAGGGAGGGUGGGUACGAGGAGAUGAGUCUCGUGGCGGUGAGCGGAACGGAGACAAGGAUGGCGACUUUAUGCUUCUCGGAGACCUCAUCUGGAGGUUCAGGAGAUGGUUCGCUGUUGGACUGUGUGCUAUGGGAUGUUUUGGUGGUCUGAUGCUUUUAGCCACCGCUCUCGUUCCAGAGGUGGUGGCCAAAGGCAAAUGUGCUUUGGGAGAGAUAUAUGCAUUUUGGUUCAUAUCCAUGUCUGUAGGAAACCUUUCCAUGCUCAGCAUUAUCGACGACCUUUCUGAUUUGGAGUUGUACUUCGUUAUUGUGAAUAAUGAAUAUGGUCAACAAUCUGAAGAAGAGUCACCUUCUGCCGAGAGAGUGAUGCGUGUUACUGCCGGGAGAGCUGCUUCUUGCCGGGAGAGUGAUAUCAACCUGCGAUGUGUUAAGCGGAUCACUGUGUAA
rnacentral:rRNA from 1 species